GAGACCUUUAGAUUGACGUUCACGGCAAACGUCAAACCGCUAGCUAGGUUUUUGAUUUUACAACUCUAUUAUAAUAGCUUUUCUUAAAUCAUUGCUAAAGAGCACAACUUUAAUAAGUUUAACAUAUUUCAAAACUGGUGUAAAAGCUAUUAUAAUAGAGCUGUACAAUUAAAAAUCUCGCUAGCGGUUUGACAUUUGCCGUAAACGUCAAUCUAAAGGUCUC